GUUGUUUGUGCUUCGAACGUCAUCACAUCGUCACGGGAGUCAAGAGUCCACACACCGAGUGCUCGUCACAGCAGAAAGCCUGACUGAUCAUCCAGCGAGGCAAAUGAAUAAUAAAAGAUCAAUGGACAGCUUUGUCAUUAACACUUUGACAGAGUGGCAGCUGACAGACCUUGUCGACAAAUUUAAAGAUUGCACAGGACAGUCUUGUCCUGCAAGGGGAUGCUGCAUCAAAAUUGUUUGAAACUUGGCUACCCAUUUAUGCUGAGAAGAUCCUGUGCCUGGCACCUGGAUGGAUAAACACCAGAUGGUGUUGGGGAUCUCGCCCUGAGGCAGCUGCCAACCUUGCUUCCACCUACAACUUACAAAGUUGGCCGUGGCCGCAGUGUGAAAGUGGUUCGCCACACCAUUCAGGAAUGCAGCUUGGCCUUCAUCGACCGUAAGCCUGUAAGUCCUCAAGCACAUCUAAAUGGGAAACUUUAUUUAUUUUAUCAACAUAUCUGAGCUUAAGAAUGUGUGCAAGCACACAUGCAUAUCCAGGUUUGUUUUACUAUACUUUUGUGGACAGUCAUCAAAUAAAGCCUGACAGUAUUCGGAAAAUAGCCAUUCUACAAGCUUACAACACAAGCAUCCUGUGCUUCUAGAACACCUCAGCAGUGCCACAGGCUAAUUACCUCUGAUGCAGUAAUUUGUUCUAAAACAGGCACCAACAAAGGUAUUGAGUGCAGAAAUCAACAUAUUUAUCAGAAGGUUGACACUUUUGUAUUUUAACCCAUUUGGACCUGACUCUGUAAGGUUGACUAAAGAAGUCUUCUAAAUCUACAAACCAUUUGCGGCCCACCUAUCUGACCACCUAACUCGGCUGCCUAUCGGCCAGAUAGGAGAGUCAGAUUUUCUGAUCAUGUUUAUUGUAAUGAUAGAUCAUCAGUAGAUUUAUGGCUUUUUAGGACAAUUGAGAACAUAUGAUACAGUUCAACAUUUUGAAUUAGAGAUGCACUGAAUCUUUUCCAAAUUGUCAAGCUAACUAGACUUUAUAAUAAAACAAUAAUUUCUGUAGUGAGGACCAGGAAAAUGGUCCUCACAAUGUCUAUAUUAGAAUUCUUCUAUAGUAGUCUGUAGACAUUUGGUCCUGAAUCUUUUGAAUCUUUUCCAAAUUGUCAAGCUAACUAGACUUUAUAAUAAAACAAUAAUUUCUGUAGUGAGGACCAGGAAAAUGGUCCUCACAAUGUCUAUAUUAGAAUUCUUCUAUAGUAGUCUGUAGACAUUUGGUCCUUACUCACUCGCACUCUCUCACUUGCUCUCUUGUAUUCUUUCUUUUUUAGCCUGGAAUAAACAUGGUGGAGUAGCUCAAUGAGGCCAAGGCAUGCAAACCAUACCCCCACAUCCUGACGCUGGGAAAUGAUCAGAGGGCAUUUCAGAAUUUGUUCAAGACAGUUGACUGUUGGCAUGUUGAAUGUUCAGCCAGUUCAUUCAUAAUUGUUGUUUUGCUAUGAAUGUUUUCCUAUCUAGUGAUAUUAACUGCACCAGUUACACUAUUGUUGAUAUUAAUGAAUGUAAUACAAUAAAAAAAUUCUGAGAUUCCA